rnacentral:rRNA from 1 species
UGGGGAAUUUUGGACAAUGGGCGAAAGCCUGAUCCAGCAAUGCCGCGUGAGUGAAGAAGGCCUUCGGGUUGUAAAGCUCUUUUGUCAGGGAAGAAACGGUGAGAGCUAAUAUCUUUUGCUAAUGACGGUACCUGAAGAAUAAGCACCGGCUAACUACGUGCCAGCAGCCGCGGUAAUACGUAGGGUGCAAGCGUUAAUCGGAAUUACUGGGCGUAAAGCGUGCGCAGGCGGUUUUGUAAGUCUGAUGUGAAAUCCCCGGGCUCAACCUGGGAAUUGCAUUGGAGACUGCAAGGCUAGAAUCUGGCAGAGGGGGGUAGAAUUCCACGUGUAGCAGUGAGAUGCGUAGAUAUGUGGAGGAACACCGAUGGCGAAGGCAGCCCCCUGGGUCAAGAUUGACGCUCAUGCACGAAAGCGUGGGGAGCAAACAGGAUUAGAUACCCUGGUAGUCCACGCCCUAAACGAUGUCUACUAGUUGUCGGGUCUUAAUUGACUUGGUAACGCAGCUAACGCGUGAAGUAGACCGCCUGGGGAGUACGGUCGCAAGAUUAAAACUCAAAUG